rnacentral:rRNA from 1 species
GACGAACGCUGGCGGCGUGCUUAACACAUGCAAGUCGAACGGAAAGGCCCUGCUUUUGUGGGGUGCUCGAGUGGCGAACGGGUGAGUAACACGUGAGUAACCUGCCCUUGACUUUGGGAUAACUUCAGGAAACUGGGGCUAAUACCGGAUAGGAGCUCCUGCUGCAUGGUGGGGGUUGGAAAGUUUCGGCGGUUGGGGAUGGACUCGCGGCUUAUCAGCUUGUUGGUGGGGUAGUGGCUUACCAAGGCUUUGACGGGUAGCCGGCCUGAGAGGGUGACCGGCGACAUUGGGACUGAGAUACGGCCCAGACUCCUACGGGAGGCAGCAGUGGGGAAUAGUGAACAAUGGGCGGAAGCCUGAUGCAGCAACGCCGCGUGCGGGAUGACGGCCUUCGGGUUGUAAACCGCUUUCGCCUGUGACGAAGCGUGAGUGACGGUAAUGGGUAAAGAAGCACCGGCUAACUACGUG